rnacentral:misc_RNA from 1 species
UCACAACAGCCGGGAUCCCUU